rnacentral:rRNA from 1 species
GACGAACGCUGGCGGCGUGCUUAACACAUGCAAGUCGAACGGAAAGGCCCGGCUUUUGUGGGGUGCUCGAGUGGCGAACGGGUGAGUAACACGUGAGUAACCUGCCCUUGACUUUGGGAUAACUUCAGGAAACUGGGGCUAAUACCGGAUAGGAGCUCCUGCUGCAUGGUGGGGGUUGGAAAGUUUCGGCGGUUGGGGAUGGACUCGCGGCUUAUCAGCUUGUUGGUGGGGUAGUGGCUUACCAAGGCUUUGACGGGUAGCCGGCCUGAGAGGGUGACCGGCCACAUUGGGACUGAGAUACGGCCCAGACUCCUACGGGAGGCAGCAGUGGGGAAUAUUGCACAAUGGGCGGAAGCCUGAUGCAGAAACGCCGCGUGCGGGAUGACGGCCUUCGGGUUGUAAACCGCUUUCGCCUGUGACGAAGCGUGAGUGACGGUAAUGGGUAAAGAAGCACCGGCUAACUACGUG